UACGAAGGGGGCUAGCGUUGUUCGGAAUUACUGGGCGUAAAGGCGCGUAGGCGGCGUGUCAAGUCAGGCGUGAAAGCCCCGGGCUCAACCUGGGAACCGCGCUUGAGACUGGCAUGCUCGAGUUCGGGAGAGGAUGGUGGAAUUCCCAGUGUAGAGGUGAAAUUCGUAGAUAUUGGGAAGAACACCGAUGGCGAAGGCAGCCAUCUGGACCGACACUGACGCUGAGGCGCGAAAGCGUGGGGAGCAAACAGG
rnacentral:rRNA from 1 species